ACAAAACCCAAAAAUUUCAUUUCAAAUUUCAAAUCCAGAGCCCUUUUUCAUUUUCGUUUUCUCUCUCCCUCAAAGAUCUGGAUCUGCUCUUCUUUCCUUCUCUCUCUCUCUCUCUUUCAAAUUCCCCCUGGAUCUGCAGGUUCUUCCCUUCUCUGGUUCCAGAGAUGUCGAUGGUGGUGUCACGGAAGAGGUUCGCAACAGAACAACUUUGGUGGAACUCUUGAAGAUCGACGAUGACGGCGGCGGUUAGGGUUCUGGUCGUGAAAUUGAAUUUCAUCUUUGAUGUUCAUCAUUAGAUUUGCUCUUUGCUUUGGAGAUACUAUUCAACGAGAUAGUAAGCCUUCAAUUUCAUAUUCCUUUGUCAAUUUCAUGAUUUAUUUCAUUUAAUGAGGGUAAGUGACACCGUUCUUUUGAUUCUGAACACUAUUUCGUCAUAUAAUCACUGGAUUUCAUUUAUAUUUGUUUGUGUUUUUAAGAUGGAUCUUCGUUUUUUGUUGGUCAUGGUUUAAAGAACAUGUAAUGGUUUGAGAAGAGUUCAAGAUCAAGCUAUUGUUUUGUAGUAUGAAGGUGUGCAUCUUCCACAUAGGUUAGGUUUAAUUUCUGUACAUUAACGGAUUUGACUAUAGUGAUUUGCUGGUAUGCUUUCCGUACAUUAUUCGAUAACUAUGUUUGAAAUAUUUUAUGAUUACACACGUACAUCCUUCAGUUUGUGUCAGCAAACCCAUGAGAUGGUGGGAAAAUACACAUGCUUGAGAUCAAUUAAGCACAAGAUUACGUAGACACAUUAUGAAAUUCAUGGGAUAAAAUCCCAUCUUUUUUUCUAUUCACCUGGUUGUGGUGGUUGUAAAGCUCUACACCCAAAGAUCUGUCAACUGGCUAAGUCAAGCUCUAAAGCAAUUUUCCUCCAAGUGAACUAUGAAGAACUCAAACCCAUGUGUCAAUCUCUCCAUAUUCAUGUUCUGUCUUUCCUCAGAUUCCACAAAGGUCAUGAGGCCAAGAUCUAUAUGCGAUAAGAGUCAUGUGAUUUUUUAUUAUGCCAAACACCCUCUAGCAAAGUGAACUAGAGACUCAUAAAGGUACAAUUCUUAAAGAUUUUAUAUUAUGCCAAACACCCUCUAGCAUCAUGUUUUAUAUUGUAAAUUAGGGGUGUUAAAUGGGUCGUAUUGGCGGGUCAAACCGACACGAAUAUAACAUGUAAUCAGAAUUCCAUAACACAAUCUUUAUAAAAGCAUAAUUGCAAAUUUAGAUGUUUUUUUAAUUAAUUUGUUUUCCUUUUUUAAGUUGAGUGAACUUCCUGAAGCUUAUAAUUUGGGUGCACCUUGUAAUCCUCACAAUGAUCUUCUAAUAUUUGGUGAUUUUUGGUUUAAUUGCACUUCAGAAAAGGAAACUAUAGAUAUGUAAGUGGGGCUGAUGAGAAAAUCUCUAUGCUUUAUUAAAGCCCCAUUGUCUUUUCAAAAAAACAUUACAUCAUGAUGAUCUGCAAGUUGACGUUUAGGUUUUGGCUACAAAUAUGUCUGCUCUUGUCUAUCUCAGAAACCCAUUUAUGUUCAAGCCGUGAGUGAGAUGAGAGACAGAAGUGGCAAUGAAGGCUUAGACUAGGGGUGAGCAUAAGGCCGAGUCUCUGCUGUGUAAGCAGGCCAUAAUCACUUGCGUAAAUAUGACAACACUAUUGAGGCGUAUGUAUUUUAUUUUCAAUCCAUCUUAGCAAUCCUUCUACACUUCAUGAGACUGUUGUGGAAGUGCCCAAUGUAAGAUGGGAAGACAUUGGUGGCCUCGAGAAUGCUAAACGAGAGCUACAAGAGGCAUUAAUAUUUAAUUAUGCUCAUAAGUUCUUAUUACCUGAAAGGACUUUACAGAUGCUUUUUUACUCGAAUUUCGAAGGUGCUGAUUUCAGCCAGUAAUAUGCUUAUCAGGUUUUUUGCUCAUCACUGUAUCAGGGACCGACUCUCAUUUCCGGUUGUUAGUGCACAUUCAAAGAGAAUCUAAUGCUAGACAUUUCGAGGAUUACUCAAUAAACAAGUCCCUUCAUGCCAAAGACUUGAAGUGAUAAAAGAUUGCAGUUUUGCAUCUGGAGAAGAGACCAAACGUUGAGUUGGAUAAAGAGCAAUAUAGAACUAACGGUUGCUACAAAUGGUGGGAACAAGAUUACACGGUAAGCUAAUGCACCAGAUCUGUUUGGAUUUUGCUCUCAUCGGCGGCUGUAAAUGGUGGUUGUCUGCUUAAGCUAGCGAAUCCGACUACUUGACAUGAAUAUUCAAGAUUUGAUUCAAGUUGACUGAUUUCAUAUGGUAUUGUUUUAUAUAGGGGUCUUUUGCUUUAUUCUUAUUAACAUAAAUUUCAAGAAACUAAUGCUCGCAUUGGAUUUGAUUGCAACAUUAGAAACGUUACCUAUUGUCAUGUCGAAAGGAUGUAUUAAAAUCUUUUUUAGUUUUAUUCGCUCAUUUCCAAUUUUAGUUAUCAAGUAAGAGUACACGUGUUCCAAAAUGAAAACACUUUGACUUUAAAAGUCAAACUAUGCAUUUUGUAACGCAAUACAUACAGGUCUAAACCCAUGCUUAUCUUUUUUCUAUGUUUAGAACCAUUAACAUCUUGACUUUGAGAUUAUCAUCCAUAUAAUCAUUUUUAAAGUAUAAUUAACCGAGGAGGUAUGGCCAGGGGUUAGCAGCCUAAAGGACUGGCAUUUCUAUGUUUAGAACCAUUAGCACCGAGCGAUGGUUCCUUCAUAUUCUGUUUCAUGUCAUAUCAACCCUUCGUCUUUUUGUUCAGCCACCAUGAAUUGUUUGCGUAAAGUACAUCACAUUUAUUGACUCUCUGUUCUGCUCUAUGGUUUGGGGCCGGGGUCUGGUUUGGGUUGACUUACUAUUUCCUGUCCUUUUUGCCUGUGGGUGGAUGCGAACGGGUUGGGCUGGAGAUUUGCUCCUUUUGGUAUUAAUAUGGUGAUUUGCUCCUUCUGGUAUUAAUAUGGUGAUUUGCUCCUUAACCUUUCUUUGGUCUUUAGGCGUUUGUACUGUUUCUCAAACCGACUUAAGCCAUAGGGUGAUUCUCAGGGGUCAUUUAUGGAGCUUAUUUUUUAGUCUUGUGUCAGGGAUUGACAUUAGCCAGGGAGACAUAAGGCAGGACCAGCUAGAGGGUAUGCCGUUUCGGGUGGUAUAUAUUAUAUUGAGGAUCGCUAUUAAGGUGGGUCGUAACUGCGUAACUGCUGGCCAAUGAUCAUGUUGCUGCUGAUCUACAACACUUUCAGCUACAGGCUGUGGAAUUAUUCUUUGGGCUGUGUCAAUCUGUUAUGGGUGGAAGGUUGUUGCUGGUAUGGUAUAAACGAGGACUCUUGGCAUACCAAAACUUUGAAUGUAGUUAGGUUUAGCUGUAUGUGGUUCCUAAAGACAGUUAAAAAGCCGGAUUUCUUCUCUCUAUGCUUCAGGGGCAGUUUCGUCUUUACGGGCUGGGACAAUUUAUUUCCGAGUUUGAUGUUUGUUUUCCGGGGUUUCGCCAUGUUAUGUUGUGUGCUCCGAAUUUACCGUAAUGUCCCGAGUUUGUUGCAUUGGUCCGAGUUUGCUGCCAUGAUCCGGGUUUACAGCAGUGUUCUAGGUUUGCUGCCUUGUUCCGGGGUUGCUGUCAUGCUCCGGGAUUACUGUCAGGUCCCGAGCCUUGUCUGGGUUAAUGUAGUGUUAUUAAAGGCCCAUUACAAUGGCCUUGUGCUGUUUUACUUGAAGUUAAUCAUAUUAUACUUUUGCCUUCUGUAUAAUUGAUGCCACAUUACUUCAGUGCAUGAGUUUAUUAUGUUUUUUCUCUAA